AUUGAACGCUGGCGGAAUGCUUUACACAUGCAAGUCGAACGGCAGCACGGGUGCUUGCACCUGGUGGCGAGUGGCGAACGGGUGAGUAAUGCGUCGGAACGUGCCGAGUAAUGGGGGAUAACGCAGCGAAAGUUGUGCUAAUACCGCAUACGCCCUGAGGGGGAAAGUGGGGGAUCGCAAGACCUCACGUUAUUCGAGCGGCCGACGUCUGAUUAGCUAGUUGGUGGGGUAAAGGCCUACCAAGGCGACGAUCAGUAGCGGGUCUGAGAGGAUGAUCCGCCACACUGGGACUGAGACACGGCCCAGACUCCUACGGGAGGCAGCAGUGGGGAAUUUUGGACAAUGGGGGCAACCCUGAUCCAGCCAUUCCGCGUGAGUGAAGAAGGCCUCGGUUGUAAGACUCUUCUAGCUGGAGUGAACGGUAGCGCGUCUAACAUAGCGUGCUAAUAGACGGUACCAGCAGAAGAAG
rnacentral:rRNA from 1 species